rnacentral:rRNA from 1 species
AGCAGCCGCGGUAAUUCCAGCUCCAAUAGCGUAUAUUAAAGUUGUUGCAGUUAAAAAGCUCGUAGUUGAAUUUCGGGGUUCUACCGUUGGUCGGGCUAACCAGUCUGUACUAGCGUGUAAAAUUCCUACCUUCUGGAGAACCAUCAUGUUAUUAAUUUAGCGUGGUGGGAAACCAGGACCUUUACCUUGAAAAAUUAGAGUGUUCAAAGCAGGCUUACGUCUGAAUACAUUAGCAUGGAAUAAUAGAAUAGGACGGUGGUCCUGUUUUGUUGGUUUCUGAAUCACCGUAAUGAUUAAUAGGGAUAGUUGGGGGCAUUAGUAUUCAAUUGUCAGAGGUGAAAUUCUUGGAUUUAUUGAAGACUAACUUCUGCGAAAGCAUUUGCCAAGGAUGUUUUCAUUAAUCAAGAACGAAAGUUAGGGGAUCGAAGACGAUCAGAUACCGUCGUAGUCUUAACCAUAAACUAUGCCGACUAGGGAUCGGACGAUGUUAAAUUUUAUUGACUCGUUCGGCGCCUUAC